rnacentral:rRNA from 1 species
AAACCAGCACCUCAAGUGGUCAGGAUGAUUAUUGGGCCUAAAGCAUCCGUAGCCUGAUCUGUAAGUUUUCGGUUAAAUCUAUAUGCUCAACAUAUAGGCUGCCGGAAAUACUGCAUAGCUAGGGAGUGGGAGAGGUAGACGGUACUCGGUAGGAAGGGGUAAAAUCCUUUGAUCUAUCGAUGACCACCUGUGGCGAAGGCGGUCUACUAGAACACGUUCGACGGUGAGGGAUGAAAGCUGGGGGAGCAAACCGGAUUAGAAACCCGAGUAGUCC